rnacentral:rRNA from 1 species
GACGAACGCUGGCGGCGUGCCUAAUACAUGCAAGUAGAACGCACAGUUUAUACCGUAGCUUGCUACACCAUAGACUGUGAGUUGCGAACGGGUGAGUAACGCGUAGGUAACCUGCCUGGUAGCGGGGGAUAACUAUUGGAAACGAUAGCUAAUACCGCAUAAUAUUAAUUAUUGCAUGAUAAUUGAUUAAAAGGUGCAAUUGCACCACUCCCAGAUGGACCUGCGUUGUAUUAGCUAGUAGGUGAGGUAACGGCUCACCUAGGCGACGAUACAUAGCCGACCUGAGAGGGUGAUCGGCCACACUGGGACUGAGACACGGCCCAGACUCCUACGGGAGGCAGCAGUAGGGAAUCUUCGGCAAUGGACGAAAGUCUGACCGAGCAACGCCGCGUGAGUGAAGAAGGUUUUCGGAUCGUAAAGCUCUGUUGUAAGAGAAGAACGGGUGUGAGAGUGGAAAGUCAC